UACGGGGGGGGCAAGCGUUGUUCGGAAUUACUGGGCGUAAAGGGCUCGUAGGCGGCUUUAUAAGUCGGGGGUGAAAUCCUGGAGCUCAACUCCAGAACUGCCUUUGAUACUGGAAAGCUUGAGUUCGGGAGAGGUGAGUGGAACUGCGAGUGUAGAGGUGAAAUUCGUAGAUAUUCGCAAGAACACCAGUGGCGAAGGCGGCUCACUGGCCCGAUACUGACGCUGAGGUGCGAAAGCGUGGGGAGCAAACAGG
rnacentral:rRNA from 1 species